CAGCUAGACAACGAGAUGAGGAUGGUCAUUGUCAUUUUCUGAGCUACAAACGGGCAGAAAGUUAUAUAACACGAUGAGGGUGGCGAUGGUCAGUUCUUGAGUUUCGAACGGGCAGAAAGCUACACAACAAGAUAAGGGUGGCGAUGGUCAGUUGUCGAGCUUCGAACGUGCAGAAAGUUAUACAACACGAUGAGGGUGGCGAUGGUCAGUUCUUGAGUUUUGAACGGGCAGAAAGCUACACAACAAGAUAAGGGUGGCGAUGGUCAGUUGUCGAGCUUCGAACGUGCAGAAAGUUAUACAACACGAUGAGGGUGGCGAUGGUCAGUUCUUGAGUUUUGAACGGGCAGAAAGCUACACAACAAGAUAAGGGUGGCGAUGGUCAGUUGUCGAGCUUCGAACGUGCAGAAAGUUAUACAACACGAUGAGGGUGGCGAUGGUCAGUUCUUGAGUUUUGAACGGGCAGAAAGCUACACAACAAGAUGAGGGUGGCGAUGGUCAGUUGUUGAGCUUCGAACGGGCAGAAAGCUACACAACAAGAGGAGGGUGGCGAUGGUCAGUUCUUGAGCUUCAAACGGGAAGAAAGGAGGAGGCCAACUGAGACACAAAAGUUGUGGUGAUGAAAGGCUGUGCAAAGAAUUUCCAACCACAACCCUGCAGACCGGGAGCCAAAUGAACAGGACCUCGAGCAGCUUUAAUUACAUCUGAACAUGUUUCUAUAAGGAAGAGUUGACAAGGUACCUGGAGAUUACAAUGACUCGUGCCCUCUUGAAAGAACACUCCGCACGCACACUGCUUUGCAUUUUAGAAUAUACAUACGCUUUGUGUUACUGUGCAGAUACAUUGUGUCUGGUAUAGCGAAAUAUGACCAGCACUUCAUUGUAUUGGGAUGGGUGGCCUGUUCGAUUAUAAUGGAACUUGUACUUCACUCCUAUGAAUAAUAUACUGCCGGGCUGCUAAAGAUGUGCACACUCGACUGCUUUGGUCACGGGACAAAAUCCGCUGGCCCGCACUCCACUGGAUUAUAAUACUGCAUUGCAUUGCUGGUGCCAAUGUAGUGUACUUUAUGUAUGGAGAUUUCUAAUGACCUUGGUGCACGCUAUUUACUGUUGCUAACGGGAAAGUCUAGACAAAACCUUGUAAAUCUGAGUUUCCAACUUUUCGAUACCUCAGCCAAGAUUGCCA